CAAGUUGAAUAGAGAUGCCUCAAAAUUGUGCUGCAUGUGUUUCUGUGGUGCUUUCUUUCCUACAGAACUUAUGUUAAUCUUCGUUGUCAAUAAAUUUAUGAUAAGGAAACUGAGCCUUACAGAAGUUAAAUUAUCUUCCCAAUAUCACAGAGCUAGGAAACAACAGAGCAGGCAUUAUUUUCAUCAGGAGAAAAAAAUAUCGGAAGCUAAAGAAAAUAUAGAAGAUAAUCUCAAUCUCAUCUACAUUUCAAUUUUGCAAUAGUCUAUACCAUUUGAGGAUUAACAGAAAUAUUACACGAUAUAAGCUAGCAAUUAUUAUGUAUAAGUAUCCAUUGCCCAAAAACAUCUCCAUAAGUCAACUGCUUU
rnacentral:lncRNA from 13 species